CCAUAUCUUCUCUGGAGCAGCCAUGUGAGCCCCACAAGAGAGGAUGAAUGCUGCUGGCAUCCUGGAUCAGAUAAGUCUUUAUAAGAUAUAUAGAUUAGUAAUUAUGGUUGAUAAUUAAGACUGAGCUAGCAAGUAAGAAGUCCUAGUCAUUGGCCAGCAGCAUUGUACCUAAUAUAAGUCUCUGUGUGUUACUUGGGACAUUAAUGUGGCGGUGGGUGGAACUCUGGCGGCUGGCAGAAAGAUUUAUCAUUACAAUGGUCCUAAAACCUGCCUGAGCAGUGUACCAUGAAAGUAAAACCAUCAAGGCAGGAUGUGGUAGUACACUCCUUUUGUCCCAGCACUGAGGAGGUAGACAGAGGUAGAUCUACAAGAGUUUGAGACCAGCGUGAUCUACAGAGUUCUAGGACAGCCAGGGCUAUGCAAAGAAACCCUGUCUUGAAAAACAAAAACACACAAAAAAAGCAUAAAAUAAAGUAAAACCAUUGUGAGACAUAUAUGAAGAGUGGAGGUUAAAUGAUAGGAAAUAAAUAAAAAUAAUAUAUACGGAGAAAAUUGCCUGCAUUGCUGCACAAAGGUGAAAGGUUAAUUUCUGGAUCCCUUUGUCUCUAUGUGGCAGCCUCAGUGUUCUUUGGGCUCUGGUGUGGGGAAGGGAGGCUCCAGACUAUUUUUCUCUGGGAUCUUGAGAAUCUACCAGGGUCUCUAUAGAUACUGCAGGUUGGGUGCUGCCCUUUCUUUUUCUCUUUUCUUUUUUCCUUCCUUUCUUUCCUUUUUUGUGGUGUUUUUGUUUUGUUUUGUUUUAGGCAGGGUUUCUCUGCAAAACCCUGGCUGUCCAGGAACUCACUAUGUAGACCAGGCUGGCCUCAAACUCACAGAGAUCUGCCCGCCUCUGCCUCCCGAGUGCUGGAAUUAAAGGUGUACACCAGUGCACCCAGCACUGCUGCCAUUUUUGUUUGUUUGCUUGUUGGUGUCAUUGUUUUUUAUAUGACUGUUAGUACACAUCAUCACAAAAACCACAGCUCAUAUUUGAAAUGGAGUAAGAGUUUAUUCUGGAGUCAUUUUGAGCUACCAUGGCCUGGGAAUACAGACUUAGGUCACUCCAAAUCCUGUGUUCCAAAAUGGAAGCAGUUUCAUGAAGUUUUAUAGUUUUACAGAGUAAAGAAAGUCAUAAAGUCAUAAAUUAAGGUAAGUUUAAAAUACAAGGAUAGGUACACCAGAAAGGUGGCUACAGCGAGAAGGGAGAGGCUUUUCUCUUGGUUCAAGGUACCAUCUAAUGACAUUCUUAGCUUUAGGGUUGGUGGGAGCUAGUGGUCCUCUAAGUUCCAAAGGUUUUUAUCUAUUACUCACAAGAUUUAGUUCAAACACCAAGGUGGACAAGAAAUGGCUGUCUUGGAGGGCUAGAACUAGCCAGAGAUGAGGUAACUAGCCUCUGAACCUGCAAUAUUCCAAUCUCCCCCGGGGCUGAAUUCUAGUCAGUCAGCAAGUCUCUGCAAAGAUGGCUUCUUCUGGGCUUUCGCUCACAGACUGCAGACUCUGCUGUUGGAGCAGACACAGAACUAACAAAAGAAGUCCACAUGCUGGAAUCCCAUUGCAAAGAUACAAAUGCUAUGAAAGAUCAAGCCAGCAUCCCCUUUCCAAAACCUACCAGUCCUGUAGCCAUGUUUGCAAAUGAGAAUGACCUAGGUGAGCCCAGGACAGAGGAUUUUAAGAGGACAGCCAUAAAUAAACUUCAUCAAAGAACUCAAACAGUUUUAAAAUGACACAAACAGCUCAAAGAAAUGAUGGAGAAAGAACACAAGGAGAAUAAACACCUGACCGAUGCCCAAGAACACAUAAACAUAAGGAGAUGGAAACGAGGAAGACAAGGCAAGACGUGAGGACAGACUUCAAUAAGGAGACAGAAACACUGAAAAAGACUCACACUCAAAGGAAUGUCUUAGAAAUAGAAGAUAGAGCAGAGGAUCUAGACCAAUAAGUAAGGAAUGUGAAAAAAAUUAAAACAAAGGAAAGGUACACAUGGAAAUGUGGGACACCUUGAAAAGACUAAACCCUCCAUUAUGGGCAUGGAUGAGGGAGAAGAACCCCAUGUCAAUGGCAUAGACCAAAUGUUCAACAAGAUCAUAGGAGAAAACUUUUUAAAAAUUUAAUAAAGUUAUUUAAUGUAUAUGGGUGUUUUGCUGAAUGGAUGUUUGUAUACCACAUGCAUGCCUAGUGCCUGUGGAAGCCAGAAGAAGGCACUGGAGUUAUAGAUGUUUGUCAACUGCCAUGUGGAUGAUGGGAAUUGAACCUGAGUCUCCUGGAAGAGCAGUCAAUGUAGACAUGCUAAUGAGAACAAGGAAAAGCCCAGGAGGCUUCAACUCUACAUAAAGAACGAAAAGCAACUAAAGAAACAGUGAGAGCUGAAGAAAUAGUCUUCCUCAGGAAUGAGCAUGAUUAGUUAUCUAAUACCAAAUGAUCAGCCCUGAAAACAUAUACAUACAAGUGAUAUUCUACAGAUGGUUCUCAGAAAUAUAUAUGUAUAUACAUAUAUGCAUGUAACAACAAUUAAUGGAAAAAGGUCAUGAAUUUGAAAGAGCAAGAAGGGGUAUAUGGGAGGGAUUAGAGGGAGGAAAGUGAAGGGGGAAUUAUUUAGCUAUAUCAUACUCUCAAAAAAUAGAAAUAAUUAUUUAAAAAACAAAUGUAUAAAAAUGAAUAAAUAAAACCGUAUCUCAAGACAAAGAACUGACACAUCUGACAACCUUUCUUUCUCUCUUUCUGUCUUUCUUUUGAUUGAUUUAUUUAGUGUUCUGUCCUGCAUGCAUCUCUGCAGGCCAGAAGAGGGCACUGGAUUUCAUUACAGAUGGUUGCGAGCCACUAUGUGGUUGCUGGGAAUUGAACUCAGGACCUCUGGAAGAGCAGCCAGUGUUCUUAACCUCCAGCCCCCUGGCAAUGUUUCAAGCUGUGCUCAUUCAGACACUACAGGGUGACAACUGUGCAGACAACACUUCUAGAAAAAGUGACAAAAUUAGGUAAAAUGAAAUGUGUACAUUGAAAUGCACAUGUUUAAAAAAUUUAAACCCAAUUAUAGACAGAUAACGAAUAGGAAAAGGAAGUCUUUUAACCUAUAAGUGAUACACUUACGGUAAGACAUCAUGUGAAUGGCUGAAAUGUCAAGUGAUGAUACAAACUCACACUGAGAAUUUCUUUGCAAGAAAAAUUGCAAUCCUGGGAAUGAACCAAGCACUCCAGCACCAAGCUAAUGCCUGGCUCCUCCCCUAUCAGCCUGUGCUAACAAACCCAGCUCUUCAAAAGGUACACAGUGAACAAUAAUGAUCCUAUUAUGUGGAAAUGACAAGAUACUAAAUAACUUGAAAUAACUCCUCUUUUGUAAAUGUUCUUUUCAUUCUCUAUUAAUCAGACAGUGGUAAUACUUUAAAAACCAGCGCCUUCUAUCAAUUUAUAUAAACAUGAUGAGGAACUUAGAAAGCACACCAUUAACAUGUUUUAAACUUUGUAUUUAUGUGUAGGUGGUGUGUGCCUGAUUGUAUGUACAGUGUGUGCACGCAGGUGCCCUUGGAGGCUACCUCACCAGAUCUCCCAGAGCUGAGGUUGUAGGCAGUGGUGAGCCACCAUGUGGGUGCUGGGAACAAAGCCUGGAACCUCUUCGAGAACAGCCAGUACUGAUCAUUCUUUCCAGCCCCAUGAAC
ensembl:lncRNA